GAGGAAAAGAAACCAACAGGGAUUGCCCCAGUAACGGCGAGUGAAGCGGCAACAGCUCAAAUUUGAAAUCUGGUCCCCAGGGCCCGAGUUGUAAUUUGCAGAGGAUGCUUUUGGUGAGGUGCCUUCCGAGUUCCCUGGAACGGGACGCCAUAGAGGGUGAGAGCCCCGUCUGGUUGGAUACCGAGCCUCUGUAAAGCUCCUUCGACGAGUCGAGUAGUUUGGGAAUGCUGCUCUAAAUGGGAGGUAUAUGUCUUCUAAAGCUAAAUAUUGGCCAGAGACCGAUAGCGCACAAGUAGAGUGAUCGAAAGAUGAAAAGCACUUUGAAAAGAGGGUUAAAUAGUACGUGAAAUUGUUGAAAGGGAAGCACUUAUGACCAGACUUGGCCCCGGUGAAUCAUCCAGCGGUUCCCGCUGGUGCACUUUGCCGGGGUUCAGGCCAGCAUCAGUUCGCUCCGGGGGAUAAAGGCUUUGGGAAUGUGGCUCCCUCGGGAGUGUUAUAGCCCAUUGCGUAAUACCCUGUGGCGGGCUGAGGUUCGCGC
rnacentral:rRNA from 1 species